CUCCUACGGGGCGCAGCAGUGGGGAAUAUUGCGCAAUGGGGGCAACCCUGACGCAGCAACGCCGCGUGCAGGAAGAAGGUCUUCGGAUUGUAAACUGUUGUCGCAGGGGAAGAAGACAGUGACGGUACCCUGUGAGAAAGUCACGGCUAACUACGUGCCAGCAGUCGCGGUAAUACGGAGGAUGCGAGCGUUAUCCGGAUUUAUUGGGUUUAAAGGGUGCGUAGGCGGAAUGCCAAGUCAGCGGUAAAAUCGCGGGGCUCAACCUCGCUCCGCCGUUGAAACUGGCGUUCUUGAGUGGGCGAGAG
rnacentral:rRNA from 1 species